GAGAAGUAAGUUGUGAAAAUCUAGUGAAGUCUGGAACUUGAAAAUAUAAUUUAUUUAACUGCUGUAAUAUAAAAAGGAAUUAAAAUACAAAAAUGAAGUUUCAAUACAAGGAAGAUCAUGCAUUUGAGAAGCGACGUGCUGAAGGUGACAAAAUACGUAGGAAGUACCCAGACCGUGUACCAGUAAGUACAAUGAAAAAUUUUCAUUACAUUUGUAUGCAAUUUUAUAAUAUACUCGUUGGUAAUGAUUCCAUACAAACUUAGAAAGUAAUAUCCAUACAUAAGUGUGAUUGUGAACGGAGUAUGGGGUUUUCUUUGUUACGAAAAUAGCCAAGUAGGGGCGGGGGGUAAAAUGCAAUAAAAAAUUGCGUCAUAGAAAAUAGAUUCUUAAAAAAUUUAUGAUAAUAUAUAAACGUUUAGUUGUGAACAAGUAUAUUUUUCUGUUGCCUUUAUAUUCUUUUACAGCAACAAUUUUGUGUACGCAUUGAGUAUUAUAUGCAUACAUUUUCAACAAUAGUACAAAUGUAUAUGUAUUUUUGUUUUUCGUUUCGUAUUGCUGUUUUCGGUAGCAGUGUUACCAACUUCAAUAAAAACUUGUACUGAUUCUCUCAUAAAAAUAAUGUUUGUGGAGUAUAAUAUACAAGUAGAAAUGCAAAAUAAAUUGAAGCGCUUCCAAACGUUGUGUCAAGGUCGAAACCAAAUAUUGGCAACAAGACAAUGUACCUAUAAAGGUUAUUGGCAACAAAACAUUUCAUUAUAAAAAUUUUUGAAUUCUCAAAUUAUCAGCUUAUUAACUUUUUUGUUUGCAUACAAAGUGGCCAAACAGGUAUCAUAAUAAAAAAGACAAAACGCCAAUGCGCACUAAAACAUAACACAUAAUUCUGCUGUGCAGACCGAAAAAAGCUUAUUUGUUUACUCAUUUUAGAGCGAAUAUUUAUCAGUAUAUACCAUAUUUGUGUGUAUAUACUAAACUGUCGAUUUUUGUUUAGUAUUGUAUAUUUUUUUUUAUUCUAUUCGGCCUUAUAACUGCGCAUAUAGAUUUAACUAUUUGGUAUACGUGUGUUUAUAGCUUGACUUCUUCAUAUGUGUUUAUGGCAUAUACGUAAAUAUUUUCACAUUUUCUUUUAUACAUGUUUGCCAUUUUUUGUACAUGUUACAUUUUCCGUAUUUCGUACUUUAUAUGCUUUAUUAACUGAAGUACUAACUAAUAUGUGAAAAUUACUACAAAUAUUUUACUUACGUAGUUAGUCAUGUUGUGAUUAAUUUAUAUGAAUUUCACAAGAAACCGAAAAAAUUUAUAUUUCCAAAGUUUCUUAGCCAUAUGUUCUCUGUAGUAUUAGCAGUAUAAUCUUACUGUAAAAAACUUUAACGCGGAAACGUUCUUUUGCCUUUUUCUCUUAUUCAAUGAAAUGCAAAAUUAAGUGUCUGUGUUUGACGAGAAUUACAAGCACUGACAUUUUUUAAAACAACAAAUUGAUCUAUCUAUUGAUACGGUUUUAGGAAUUUUUUUGUGGGCACAAGGGUAUUUCGUCAAUGCAUCAAAUCUUAAAUAAAUGGUUUGUUUCAAGGUUUGCAGGUGUUGAUCAUAGCAUGUGAGAGUUUAAUUAUUAAAAGUACAAUCUAUUAAAUUUUAGCAAAAUGUACACUGUGUAGAGAUCACACAGUCUAAUUUAACAAGAAAUCUUGGUUUAAUCUCCCUUCGCUUGUAGAAUUUGCUAACUUUCCUUUGUACGGAUUAUAACCACUCUGUUACCUUCAGUGCAAGCAGGUAAAGAUCAAUCUUUAAACGCAGAAUGAGAGUGAUUUACAGAUCACUUCAUUAAUUGUGUAUACCUGUUCUUAUAUGUAAGGAUGUUCAUAUUUUCUUUUGUCUUACGACUUAUUUGAAAUUUUCAUGUUUCAAGAUCGUAGUUCAGUAUUCAUUUAGUGCUUGUUGUAGGUAGAUCUUUUCACAGUCACUACUUUUGGUGAAAACUGUUCUGUGCUUCAUACUUUAAUUUUUUCUUAACAGGUCAUUGUGGAGAAGGCGCCAAAGGCACGCAUUGGUGAUUUAGAUAAGAAAAAGUAUUUGGUUCCAUCUGACUUAACAGUUGGUCAAUUCUAUUUCUUAAUUCGCAAGCGUAUACAUUUGCGCCCCGAAGAUGCAUUGUUCUUCUUCGUUAACAAUGUAAUUCCACCAACAUCGGCUACUAUGGGAUCUCUAUAUCAGGAACAUCACGAAGAAGAUUAUUUCCUGUACAUUGCCUACUCCGAUGAAAACGUUUAUGGCAAAAACUAAGUAGCAUUCACAUUUUGGGGGAAGGCAUGUAUGGCGGCGUUUGAAAAAACUAAUCGAGUUGCUGUAUUACGAAGAAAAUUACAAUGAUGAAAAUUAAAUAAUACAAAAAAAAUAAUUAAAUACUUUGUGCUGAUUGAGGAAAAAUUGUUUGAGUAAUAUCUUGGCGAAAAGGGAACGAUAAAAUAAAUGAAUAUCAGCAAACAAAAAAUUUAAAAGAAUUAUUAAAUAUAAUAAUAUAUAUAUUUAAAAAUAUAUACAAUGGAUAUAUAUUAUGUAUAUGAAAUAAUUUGUGUAGCUAUAAAUAUUAGUUAUAAAUAUUAUAAUCCAAUUUAUCUUUUAUUUUUGCGGUACUAUCCUUGGGUUUGGUACUUUCAGCAAUUUUUUGUUUUUUCAGUUAUAAGUUUUCUUGUUGACAUUUUAUACUUUCCUUUCAUGAUAAUUAUCUUCACCAUUCGAAUUUUUAAAAAUCUAUACUAUUUUCUUCCCUGGACGGUGGAAUUGUUCAUCAUUUAAGGCAAUACGUGUGUAAAUGAAUUAUUUUUAAUAUUUGAGUUAUAAAAUAAAUGAAGAUCGUGAUUGCGAUAUUCCUUUA